rnacentral:rRNA from 1 species
GACGAACGCUGGCGGCGUGCUUAACACAUGCAAGUCGAACGGAAAGGCCCUGCUUUUGUGGGGUGCUCGAGUGGCGAACGGGUGAGUAACACGUGAGUAACCUGCCCUUGACUUUGGGAUAACUUCAGGAAACUGGGGCUAAUACCGGAUAGGAGCUCCUGCUGCAUGGUGGGGGUUGGAAAGUUUCGGCGGUUGGGGCUGGACUCGCGGCUUAUCAGCUUGCUGGUGGGGUAGUGGCUUACCAAGGCUUUGACGGGUAGCCGGCCUUAGAGGGUGACCGGGCACAUUAGAACUGAGAUACGGCCCAGACUCCUACGGGAGGCAGCAGUGAAGAAUAUUGCACAAUGGGCGGAAGCCGGAUGCAGCAGCGCCGCGUGCGGGAUGACGGCCUUCGGGUUGUAAACCGCUUUCGCCUGUGACGAAGCGAGAGUGACGGUAAUGGGUAAAGAAGCACCGGCUAACUACGUG